rnacentral:pre_miRNA from 1 species
UUAGCUGAUAUUUGUAUGGAAUGGGAUCGUUUGCGUACGUUUGACGCUAGAGGCGCUGUUCCAAGUGCAUACAAAAUUGGGUUA